UACGUAGGGUGCGAGCGUUAAUCGGAUUUACUGGGCGUAAAGCGUGCGCAGGCGGCCCGUUAAGACAGGUGUGAAAUCCCUGGGCUCAACCUAGGAAUUGCGCUUGUGACUGGCGGGCUCGAGUACGGUAGAGGGGGGUGGAAUUCCUGGUGUAGCAGUGAAAUGCGUAGAGAUCAGGAGGAACACCGAUGGCGAAGGCAGCCCCCUGGGCCUAUACUGACGCUCAUGCACGAAAGCGUGGGGAGCAAACAGG
rnacentral:rRNA from 1 species